UUCCUUUGGUAUGCUCCAAGAUGGCGGUCCACGUGGUGCGGCGCGGGGUCCUCUGGGCGCGGAAAGUGUCGCUGCCUCAGCUCUCCGUGACAGGUAAAAGAUGCCUACUUUCUGCAGCAUAUGUAGACAGCCACAAAUGGGAAGCAAGAGAAAAAGAAGAUUGUCACCUUGCUGAUCUGGCAUCUUUAAUGGAUAAAACAUAUGAGAGAAAGCUGCCUGUUAGUUCUUUAACAAUAUCACGGUUUGUGGACAACAUUUCAUCUCGAGAAGAGAUAGACCAUGCAGAGUAUUACCUGUACAAAUUUCGACACAGCCCCAACUGCUGGUACCUGAGAGAUUGGACUAUCCACACCUGGAUUAGGCAGUGUCUAAAAUAUGGUGCACAAGACAAGGCCUUAUAUACCCUUGUAAAUAAGGUCCAAUAUGGUAUUUUUCCAGAUAACUAUACAUUUAAUUUACUGAUGGAUCAUUUCAUAAAGGAAGAAAAUUACAAAGAUGCUCUGUCUGUGGUUUUUGAGAUCAUGAUGCAAGAAGCUUUUGAGGUUCCCUCCACCCAACUCCUCUCCCUCUACGUUUUAUACUACUGCCUGGCAAAGAAGACAGACUUCAGUUGGGAAGAGGAGAGGAACUUCGGUGCAUCCCUGUUACUCCCAGGCCUAAAGCAGAAGAAUUCGGUGGGGUUGAGUUCCCAGUUGUACGGCUAUGCGCUUCUUGGGAAGGUGGAAUUGCAGCAAGGGCUGCGGGCUGUGUACCAUAACAUGCCCCUGCUGUGGCAGCCAGGGUACCUCAACAGAGCCCUUCAAGUAAUGGAGAAGGUGGCCUCCUCCCCAGAAGACGGAAAACUGUGUAGAGAAGCGCUCGAUGUGCUGGACAGAGCGCUGAAGGUGGCUCUGACCGCUCCGGCCCAGGGGUCUUCAGAGGACCAGCCCCAAGAAGGUGAGAAGACCCAGAGGUCAGAAGAACUGGUGGAGCAGCUGGAUGUGGAGGAAACUGAACAGUCCAAGCUUCCCCGUUACCUGGAACGAUUUGAGGAAAACAGAAACUGAAGAAAAGUUACCUUCAAAGUAGAAAAGGACCAGCUGGAAGGAGAUGAACUCGUCACCAUCUCCGCCGUGCUCGGUCCGGAGGGAGUGGGAUAGAAACACACAGAGGGGUUCAGGGAUUUCAGAAUGCCUUCUGGUACACAGUGACUUCUGAUGGGACCUGUCGACCAGCCCCACGGCUUGGAAGCACAGUGUAGGAUUAAAAGGAGUGUUUGUGACAGAGGAACAUCAUUAUGACUUCAGACAGGCUGCAGUGGCCUUUUGAGGCCAAAGGACCAUCUCUGAGGACAGACAAGACCAGGUGUGAAUCCAAUCCACAGCAUAUUAUGUUAUAUAGAGCUUACUCUGUAACUGAGCAAGAAAGCAAAAAGGAGAUAACGUACUGGAUAUAAUGACCGAGUGCGAUGACUUUGUAGAGCCCCAGAAAGUCAGCCCUAGGAGGGAUCAUCCAGUUUGACCAUCUUGUCAAAUCCUCUCAUUUUACAGUUCUGAUCAUAGAAGCCGUUUCAGUCUUGAACUUGCAGUAGUAAAGAAGCUGUGAAAGGCUCAACUUGCUUGGCUGAGGGGCCUGAGGUGGUAUUCAACACGCAAUGCUCAGCAUCAGACUGUUGCACCAAUCAGGAGAACUGAAGAAUGGAAUGUUUCCCUUUGUGGACAACCCAUUAGGAAGAAGAGUUCAGGCCUUCCUCAAAGAUGGAACUAGAUUCCUUCUUCUUAGGAGAAGCCACUCGGGACACCUUAUCUGAGGAUUCCUUCAAGGCCCCUGGCUUGGGUGAAGCUGCAGAGGGCUUGGACUUCCCAUCACCCUUCUUGACAGGUAUUACAGGAUCACUGGAUGUACACAGGGCAAACGUCAGAGAUGUUGGUUGGUAAAUAUUUCCAUACUGGUAAGUGAACAGCCUCUGUCCUGACCACUCCUACCAUUCCCUUCUCCCUCAACUCCCUACUCCGCUCCCCCCUGCCCCAGGCACCUCCCCCUCAGACCUCGCCACCAUCUGUUCUUGCCCAGCAGGGGAUCUUCAGAACUCUGCUCCACUUCUAAGACUAGUGACCAUCUGGAUGAUCAGUGCCUGUGUGGUUAUGAAAUACUCUGGAUACAACCCCUGGGUACUUGCCAUGCAACAAUGCCCUUUAAAAAGUAACAAACUAUCACAGGGGAUGGCUCACUGAGUCAUUUCACCACUGAUAUGAAAUGUUUUCUUUUAUUCCACUGGGCUGGGCAAAAAGGACUGAUGACACAUUAAAUGAAUUUUGAUAUAGUGCACAUGGGGUCAAUUUUUAGAAUUUGGUAGGUAGAGAAGAAAAAAGUUUGGUGGGGUUUUUUUUUGCAUCUUGGAGACAGAAAGUUCUAGACUGCACAUUACUACAAAAAAUUACUGGUUCUGGCAUCAGUUCACACUACGUAAAGCAUGAGUAGUUCAUCCAGCAGAUUCUCUGCAAAUACAGACACUCGGAAACCAAGAUGGUCAGAGCAGUUGGAUAAUUAUGUGAGCAAGGAGCCAAAAUUUGUCCCCCAUUUGCUCUUGUUUGAAUCCAGGGUGAGAUCUUCUACUCUAUUACAACUCCUGGUCUUUUCAGGGCAAGCUGGGCAUGAGUGGCUAACAUCAAAUCUGGCUGAAAAGUUUUCAACACAUUGUUUAGUACUGCAGGAUGCGAAAUGCAGAAGAGUUAAUUGGGACCAAAACAGAGACUGUGACUUAAUGAAAAUGCUGUUUUCUUUCUCACUCCAUAUUAUGGCCCUAUGCCUAGUAGGUAGUGAGGGAGAAUCGUGCCAUAAACUCCAGUCUUCUUCCUUCAGUUAACAGCAAAGCUCGUAAAUCGGCUCAGCGUUUCCAGUGAAAAGAGCUCUGUGUCCUUAAUGGUAAAUGAUGAGGGCAAAGCAAAGAUUUCAUUUGGUCCAGGCAUCCCUGAGCCAGUGGGUCUAAACUCUUCCCUUCUAGUAUUGGAGUGGUUUUCUCUGUCUCAUACAACUUCCUGGAUACCAGCGUUCUGAGGCUACUAGUAUGAAUGUUUAGAAGGGUUAUAAAAUCUGAAUUUUCCAACGUUAGAUUGCAGUAGAAUAGCCAUUUUUGUUUUGUUAGCCUAUUUGUCCUACAUUUUAUGUGAAGGGUCACAAAACAACAAGUCUUUCUUUGACUUUGCUGUUUUCCUCUGACUUGAUGAUCUUCUAUAAAAGGGAUAAGAAUCAACUAUUUUGGAAGCUAAGAAAACUGAUAAACAGCAAAUGGUAGCCAUCCAUGGGGGGGGGGGUCUUUGCUCAAAUAUUUGCUGACCAAAGCAAACAUCAGCACCAACUAUGGUUUCCUGUCCAAUAAUCAGCAUAGACCCACAUCACCAUCACUAUAGAACAGUUAAUUGUCUCAGUCCUAAUUUUCACACAGAGCACAUGCAAACUAUUCAUGUUUUAUAACACAUUUUUGAGGAGAAAUCCAGGAUAACUCAAACUGCUGAGUCUUUAAUAGUGAAAUGCAGAAAUUAAGUUUAGUUCAUUUUAAUUUUUGAAAUUCUACCCUGAGGGGUGUGGCAGGUAAAGGUAUGGUCCAGCUGUGUGCAGGGGGUGUUCAGUCACUAGCUCUUUUUAUGUGACGUAGGUAAUCACCAACAUCAAGGAGAAGGUAAAAGGACUUGUGGAAUACCUCCUUACUUUCCAUCUUUUCACCUCUACCCAGAGAGUUUCUAUGAAACGAAGGAAAUGACCCCCCCAAAGGAAACAAAGCUGUGCAGAAUUCUGAGGAAGUCAAGGGCCUUGAAAAACAGCAAAGAGGCUGGUGAAUGGAAAGCUAUGACGUACAAGAGAAAGCAGAAAACAAAAGUCAGCACUGCCAGACAGGUUUUUUUUUUCACAGGGAAAAUCCGGUUCCUUUGGAGAAGCAACAACGCACUGUGCGUGAGACAAGAACACAGUCUCAGGCUGGAGAGAACCCGUCAUGAAAGAGACAGAUGGAAAGGGUCCGGGAGGAGGAGGAAGAACAAGCGCUGCGGCCUUGGAGCAGCACAGCAGAAACAAAGCCCCGAUAUCCCCCCAGAACCGGCUUCCAGACCUGUGCCAGCACGUACACUGGAGAGACAGGGCCUCAAGGGCAAAGACCGGGUCUCACAAGCGCCCGCUCAACCAAGGGACAGGCGAGAGCAACGAGGAGGAGCCAACAAUUGAGUGGAGAAACAGUGAUGUCAUCCGACCAGUCUUUCUACACAAAGCCUCCAGGUGAACCUAAUGAAGCUGGGCAGUUUAUUUACAGCUCUUGCCAAUGAUGGAAAGUACACAGAGGCCUCUCUGUGACUCUCCGGGCCAAGGAAGAUUAAAUGCAGAAAGACAGAUGGCCCUUCCCAACAUCCACGGGACUAAGACGCCGCCAUCUCAGGAAGUUCUCAGGAAGAUGGUUUUAAAUAGAUGUGGCAACUCCUCCUGUCAGCACGUCCCUCAACCUCUCCAUGUAGAAACCUGCUAUCAGCUACGGGCAGCCCCAAGCUGCUAUGGUGACAGCCCUGAAUUGUCACUCUAACUAGGAGACCAGAGGCGCGUUAUUUUGCAAAGAGAAGUUUCCCAACCAGAUAAAUUCGCAAGCAGAAAUAACCAAAUUCAAAUGUUCGAUCUGAUUUUACCAAAUACCACUAGUAUCCUAUAAUUUUCAAAACGCCACAUGUAUCAUCCUUGAAUAAGAUAUAUUCGUUAGAAAUAUUAAUGAUCACGCUUCAGUCCAGCUAUUUUAACCAUCCUUCUCCUGGGGCAUGGACAUGUCCCAUAGACACACCCCGUUUUCCUACAUGCCUCCCUUUCUUGGGCUAUUCAAGCAGCCCAAGUUCAAACACUGGGGCCAGGCAUUAAAAGUAAGAGAAAUCAGAAAUUAUUUGACCAGGAUAAGUAAGUACAUGCACUGAAAGAGAUCAGGGCAGUUAAAUCCUACCCAAAAUCCAAGAGAUCUUUGGAGUAUUCUUUCAGAAAACAGGAAACCUGGGUUUUCUUUUGGACUCUGUCAUUCCAAGUUUCUCCAUCACCUCUGCCAUCUGUAAAAUGCUGACUGUACCAACCCCCCUCCAUCUGUAUCUCGGGCACAUUCAGAAUGGUUCCAAUUAAUUAUAGAUGAGUGCUCUAAAUUCCUCGGGAGAUGAGCCACAGGACUGCAGGACACUGCACCACGCGGUUUUGCUUAUUUCAAAGGAGUGCAACACCCCCUCCCCGCAGCCUCCUAUCUCCCACCAGCCUUUCAAAGAUCAGCCUAAGGCUACAACAAUAACCGAGCAACUGUAAAGCUUGGAUACUCCCAGACAGGAGCCUACCUCUUGAUCGGUGAAAAUCUCUAUGAAGUUCUGGAAGGAGAAAGAGCCGGACUGGAGAAUGAGCUCUCCGGUAUUUUCAAAGCACUGCCCCGUCAACACGAGCAGCUUGUGUCGGGCGGCGUCCGUGAUCAUUAAGCGCACCUGAAACAAAGCACGGGGAGCAUGAGCCAUGGGGGGCGCUGGAAUCCCACCUUCAGGAUCAGGCUGGCCCUUGGAGCUCUUGAAGUUUCUUACCAACAAGAAUUACGCGUUCCCCGGUAUUCACUUUGCCCCUGGGGUGCUGGACAGAGCCAAUGACUGUGGUCACCAGCUGCCCAUGAAUGCCAUUUUCCAAAUCUGGCCACCACCAAGACAGUAGUAGGAGUUAACUUUCUCCCCUUAGUUUCCUUGUCUUUUUCAAAGCAGUCUCCACAGCUGGCAAUCAUUUGUUGCACAGCUGUGCCUACUAGCAGCGUGCAGUCCGUGAGACAUGAGUAUCUCACAGGCUGACUCACCAAGUACAGUCCAGGUCUCCCAACUGCUGCCUCAGGAAACAUAGGUUUCCAGCUAGGGUCCCAAGUCAGCCCCUCCCACCCAGGACCCCUUUCCUGCCAAGCCAUACACCGAACACACAGCUCCCAAAGCAGUCUCCAAUGGGAUCAGCAAGGUGCCUAACGUUGAACUUGAACAUAAACAAAAGGCUGCCCUGAUUGGGAAUCUUUUAAAUAGAAUUGUAAACGGUUUGCACGAAAGAACUCUCUGUUCUUUAAGUGGCAGGGAGCCAGCCUGUCCUUCAGCAGAAAUACCACUCCAAGCACCAAGGUUAUUCAUUCUGAGCCCAACUCAGUUCAGCACAAAGUGACUGCCAGGCAUCAUGCUAGGCACUAAGGGAGGGAUGCAAAGUAAACAGGACGUGACCCACUGUCCCCACAAACCCCAGGAUCCAGGGAAAUGCACAUGUACCGAAGUAAUUGUUCCAGCCCCAUCUGCUCCACAGGCAAGCCUGGGUUCCUUAAAGAAAUUCCUCAUUUUUUCCUUCUUCAUUUCUCACAGCUGUUCCAGGCAAUCUGCCUGCACAUAUAUUCAACCUCCAGCUUUUUUCAAGUUGUAUCUACUUCCUGAUCCUGAUGGCCAAAGACAGAUUGCUAGCCCAUCACUUGCCUCACCUUGUACCUUCAGGGAUUGUCAGAGAGGUCCUGCUCAUCUGGAGCAGAUGAAAUGGGAUCAAAACAGGCUAUAUAAUGAGAGCCACAAAGUGGAAGCAAACCAAAUGUCCAUCAACUGAUGAAUGAAUAAAUAAAAGUGGUAUACCCAUACAUUGGAAUACUAUUCUGUCAUAAAAAGGAAUGAGGUACUGAUACGGGCUACGAUGUAGAUGCCUCUGGAAAACACUACGUAAAGUGAAAUAAGCCAGACACAAAAGGCCACAUAUCAUAUGAUUCCACUGUCUGAAAUAACGUGCUCAGAACAGGAAAAUCCAUAGAGGCAAAAAGUAGAUUAGUGGUUGCCGGUGGUUGGGGGAAUGGGGGUGACUGCUAAUGGGCUUGGGGUUUAGGGGGCUGAUGGACACAUUCAGGAAUUAGAUACUGAUGAUAGUUGCACAAUACUGUGAAUAGACUAAACCCCAAGGAACUACAUACUUUAAAAGGAUGGAUUUUAUGGCGUGUGAGUUAUAUCUCAAUUUUGAAAAACAAGCUACAGUCACAGAGAUGCUCAGCAUGGGAGAAGAGAUGCUGUGGAUGGUGCAGGCCCCUGGGCCUGUGGCUAUUCUAACUAACAUCCAAGAAGCAACUCAAUCUCAAAGGUACCAAACUGCAGUAAAGACAGUGGGAAACGGAGGUGGAACAAUUCUUCUACCCUGGGUGAGCAGGGAUUCUUGGCGUCAGCCUAGUUCCUACCUUACAGUAGGCUCUGAAAUACCCACUCUCUCUGGCAACAAUUUCAUAUGGUGGUAAUACAAAUAUUAAUACUGAGAAAAGCCAACAUAUAUGUUUCGGUUGUCGUAUGCCAUGCUGUGUUCUAAGCACUUGACACUUCUGGACACAAAACUAAAUGUCAGUGCUAUUAUGAUCUCCAUUUUAUAGAGGUGGAAUGAGACAAAGAGAUGGUCAAUGACUUGCCCAAGGCCGCCAGCUAAUAAGUGGCAGAACCCAGGCAGUCCAGCAGCAGAGGCCGUGCCCCUGGCAGCUGUGCUGCCCUGCCUUUCAACAGUGCUAAGGGGGUGGGCAAGAUGCUCUGAAGGAGGCUUGCAUCUGAGAAGCCAUUGUUCUCCAAAUUUGGGUCAUGAAGGUCUCAGCCUGAAGGCUUGCAGUCUCCUUCCCCUGCUACCUCCCAGCCAGACUCCAUCCCAGCAGCACACCCUCCAGGUAUACCCCCACAUUCCACACCCGCUUCACCUCUACAAAAUACUCCAGUUCUGGCCAGCAUCUUCCACUCCGUCCUUACUGAAAGGGGCAGUCUCGGGUGGUACUGAUGCAGAGAACCAGCCACUGACUAGGGGUAUGGAGGCAUCCCUGGACCCAGAACCUGUCUCUCCCUUGUCCCUCUCUUGCCACCUGCCCAGCCCCUCUCAUCAGCUGGGUCUCCGUCCACUGUGUGAGGCCCUGCGGAGCCAGAUACUUACCUCAGUGCUGACUGCUUCAUCUGAGGGGUUGAUCAGGACCACUGUUUCUAAAACGUCACUUCUGUGAUGAAG